GUCCUAUCCUGGCAGGGGAGGCACCAUGAUCAGGCAGGUGGUUUUCCCUUACACUCCGGGUAUGCUGAUCCCUGCAAUUUCCCCAAAUGUGGGAAACUUGAAUGUAUAAUUUGUGGUAGUGGGGGACUGCAUUUGUGCUCUCCCCUG
ensembl:snRNA U1 U1 spliceosomal RNA